CAUGGACAGAGGAGCCUGGCGGGCUGCAGUCCGUGGGGUCGCAGAGUCGUACACGACUGAAGAAAACAGAUGAGCAACUCCUCAUGAAUGUGGAUUAAGGCGGUGAUUUUGUACAGAUUGGUCCCUGCAGGAGGUAUAGAAGACCCUGAAGGAAGAGAACCCAAUAUAGUUCCUUAACAUAACCGGAUUAACUGGACCCUGAGGAAUGAUGGUGUUCGCACUGUUGACCCUCAUGCUCCAAUCAGCCAGGGUCUGGACUUUCUCCACCUUUGCCAGCAUGCUGUGCUGAACUCCUGCUCAAGCCCCUUUGUGAAUACGCGUGCACCUUCACUUACGUCUGCCUCGAUUUUGCUGGUGGGACAGACACCGCUCUGGGAGAGCCUUGGAGCUGUCCCCACUUGCUGCAAGCAACAGGGCCUCCCUUCCCUAGCUCUUUGACUCGGUCGUAUCUUUUGGUUAGACACCCACCAAGGGGCCACCUGAUGCGAACAGCCGACUCAUUGGGAAAGACUCUGAUGCUGGGAAAGACUGAAGGCAGAAGAGGAGGGUGACAGGGAAUGAGCUGGUUGGAUGGCAUCACCGACUCAAUGGACAUGAACUUGGGCGAACUCUAGGACCUGGUGAGGGGCAGGGAGGCCUGGCGUGCUGCAGGCCCGGGGUCAGACACAGCUUGCUGACUGAACAGUAACAAGGGGCCAGUGGAGUCUCCAGAGAGCAGUUUCCCCAAUGUGACACGGAAAGUUCAAGCAACCUAAGAAAAACGUAGACGAGUUGAAAUUCAUCAGAGUUAAAACCUUUUGGGUUCACAGGAUAUCAUCAAAAAGAAAGAAAAAAAUUUAAAUAGAGUAAAAGAUAAAUAAAUAAACAAACGCUAUGAGGAAAGUGGAGAGGGAAUUCUUUGGCAGCCCGGUCAUUAGGACCUGGUGCUUUCACUGUGUGGUGGGGGCUCACUCCCUGGUUAGAGAACUAAGACCCUGCAAGUGGGCGGCACGGUCCCCCCAAAAGUGAAACGAUAGAAAUCCACAAAAUGGGAAAGAGUUUUGCAAAUCCUAUAUCCGAUGAGGAGAUUGUAUCCAGAAUAUGUAAAGAACUUUCAGAACUCAACAACUCAAUUAAAAAACAUGUGAAGAAUCUGAAUAGACA